CCCAGACUCCUACGGGAGGCAGCAGUAGGGCCUUUUGCGCAAUGGGGGCCCCCCUGACGCAGCCCCACCGCGUGCCUGUUAAGCCCUUCGGGGUGUAAAGUUCUGUCAAUAGGGCCGCCUUUUGACUGUCCCUCUAAAGGAAGCCCCGGCUAACUCCGUGCCAGCAGCCGCGGUAAUACGGGGGGUGCAAGCGUUGUCCGGAAUCAUUGGGCGUAAAGCGUUCGUAGGCGGUGUGUCAAGUCUGAUGUUAAAGCCCGGGGCUCAACUCCGGUUCGGCAUUGGAUACUGGCAAACUAGAAUGUUGUAGAGGUAAAGGGAAUUCCUGGUGUAGCGGUGAAAUGCGUAGAUAUCAGGAGGAACAUCGGUGGCGAAAGCGCUUUACUGGACCAUUAUUGACGCUGAGGAACGAAAGCCAGGGGAGCAAAUGGGAUUAGAUACCCUCGUA
rnacentral:rRNA from 1 species